rnacentral:rRNA from 1 species
AUACGUAGGUGACAAGCGUUAUCCGGAUUUACUGGGCGUAAAGGGCGUGUAGGCGGUCUUGCAAGUCCGAAGUGAAAUUCCUGAGCUCAACUCGGGCCCUGAUUCUGAAACUGCAGGACUUGAGUGCUGGAGGGGAAAGCGGAAUUCCUAGUGGAGCGGUAAAAUGCACAGAUAUUAGGAAGAACACCGGCGGCGAAGGCGGCGUUCUGGACUGUACCGGACGUGGAGGCGCGAAAGCGUGGAGAGCAAAUGGGAUUAGAUACCCUAGUAGUCCACGCCGUAAACGAUGAAUACUAGGUGUAGGGGGUAUCGACCCCUUCUGUGCUGUAGUUAACGCAAUAAGCAUUCCGCCUGGGGAGUUCGGUCGCAAGGUUGAAACUCAAAGGAUUUGGCAGGG